CGUGGUGCGCCUCUCCGAGGAGUCGGAAGGACGCUCUGGUGAGUGGCGGACGGGUGAGUAACGCGUGCCAAUGUGCCGCUCGGAGGGGGACAACAGCUGGAAACGGCUGGUAAUACCCCAUAUGCCGCGAGGGGAAAUGAAUUUCGCCUGAGGAUGAGCUCCCGUCUUAUUAGUUAUUUGGUGUAGGAAAUGGCUCACCAAGGAAUCGAUCAUUAGCUGGUCUGAGAGGAUGAUCAGCCACACUGGGACUGAGACACGGCCCACAUUCCUACUGGAGGCAGCAGUGGGGAAUUUUCCGCAAUGGGCGAAAGCCUGACGGAGCAACGCCCCGCGAGGGAUGAAUGUUUUUGGGCUGUAAACCUCUUUUAUCAAGGAAGAAGAUCUAGCGGUACUUGAUUAAUAAGUUACGGCUAAUUCCGUGCCAGCAGCCGCGGUAAUACGGGAGUGGCAAGCGUUACUCGGCACUAUUGGUUCCAAAGCGCCCGCCCGUGGUCCUUCCAGUCUGCUGUUCAAAAGUGUAACUUAAUUCCACCCCGCCAGUGCAAACUGCCCGGCUUGAAUGUGGUAGGGGCAGAAGGAAUUUCCUGUGUUGCGGUUGCAUGCGUAAUAAUCUGGAAGAACACCCCUUGUGGAAGGCGCCUCUGCCGGGGGCAUCUCUGUAAGCUCAUUGGACAUAAGCCAAGGGCAGCGAAACGGGAUUUGAUACCCCUGCUAGUCCUGUACCCCAAACCGAUAAACAUUCACGUUGUUCGGGGGAAAUCAAACCCCCCUCUGCCGCUCGU
rnacentral:rRNA from 1 species